GCCAAAGUAAGAAUUGACGCAGAGCCAGUAGCAGUGCCCAAAAAUCCACUGAGUUGACAUUUUGCAUAUGGGAUGCCUACAUUCCUGAACGCGAUUGAUUUAAUUAUCGCCAAAAGGAGGAGAAUGACAACCAAAAGGUCGACACAAGCCAGGUUGGCUAUUAAUGAGUUGGUUACACGCUGUUUUACGUUCUUCCAUUGGUGAUGCACAACAUAUAAUACCAUGGAGUUCCCUAUCAGGUUUCCAAUGAGUACCACAAACAAGGCAAACACAAAAAAUGCAUUUGCAACCUCUGAUGGUCCACUCGACUCUUCUGUUUUGUUGCUGAAACUGACUGCCGUUGUAAACGUAUCCCUGUUAAAUUGU